AUUGAACGCUGGCGGCAUGCCUUACACAUGCAAGUCGAACGGCAGCACGGACUUCGGUCUGGUGGCGAGUGGCGAACGGGUGAGUAAUGUAUCGGAACGUACCUUUCAGUGGGGGAUAACGUAGCGAAAGUUACGCUAAUACCGCAUAUUCUGUGAGCAGGAAAGCAGGGGAUCGAAAGACCUUGCGCUGAUUGAGCGGCCGAUAUCAGAUUAGCUAGUUGGUGGGGUAAAGGCCUACCAAGGCGACGAUCUGUAGCGGGUCUGAGAGGAUGAUCCGCCACACUGGAACUGAGACACGGUCCAGACUCCUACGGGAGGCAGCAGUGGGGAAUUUUGGACAAUGGGGGCAACCCUGAUCCAGCCAUGCCGCGUGAGUGAAGAAGGCCUUCGGGUUGUAAAGCUCUGUCGGCCGGGAAGAAAUCGCAUAGGCUAAUACCCUGUGUGGAUGACGGUACCGGAAUAAGAAGCACCGGCUAACUACGUG
rnacentral:rRNA from 1 species